rnacentral:rRNA from 1 species
UACAGAGACUGCAAGCGUUAUUCGGAUUCACUGGGCGUAAAGGGUGCGCAGGCGGCCAAGUGUGUUAGGCGUGAAAGCCCGGGGCUUAACCCCGGAAUUGCACCUAAAACUACAUGGCUAGAGCAUUGGAGAGGGUAGCGGAAUUCACGGUGUAGCAGUGAAAUGCGUAGAUAUCGUGAGGGAACACCAGAGGCGAAGGCGGCUACCUGGACAAUUGCUGACGCUCAGGCAACGAAAGCGUGGGGAGCAAAAGGG